UACAGAGGGUGCGAGCGUUGUCCGGAAUCACUGGGCGUAAAGGGCGCGUAGGCGGCUUUGCAAGCGUGCGGUGAAAGCUCGGGGCUUAACUCCGAGUCUGCCGUGCGAACUGUGAGGCUUGGGUCUGGUAGAGGUCGAUGGAAUUCCGGGUGUAGCGGUGGAAUGCGUAGAGAUCCGGAAGAACACCGGUGGCGAAGGCGGUCGACUGGGCCAGUAC
rnacentral:rRNA from 1 species